GACGAACGCUGGCGGCGUGCUUAACACAUGCAAGUCGAACGGGCCCGCUCUCUUUUUUGGGGGUGGGUUGAGUGGCGAUCGGGUGAGUAUCACGUGAGUAACCUGCCCCCUGCUCCUGGAUAACUGCUUGAAAGGGCGGCUAAUACGGGGUGUGCCGGCUGGUCCGCAUGGGCCUGGUCGGGAGAGUUUCAUCUUCGGGUGUUUCGGUGGGGGAUGGGCUCGCGGCCUAUCAGCUUGUUGGUGGGGUGAUGGCCCACCAAGGCGGUGACGGGUAGCCGGCCUGGGAGGGUGGGCGCGCACACUGGGACUGAGACACGGGCCAGACUCCUGCGGGAGGCAGCAGUGGGGGGUAUUGCACAAUGGGCGGAAGCCUGAUGCAGCGACGGCGCGUGAGGGAUGGAGGCCUUCGGGUUGUGAACCUCUUUCUCCGGUGGUGAAGGCCCUGUCCGUUGCGGCGGGGUUGACGGUAGCCGGGUAUGAAGCGCCGGCUAACUACGUG
rnacentral:rRNA from 1 species